rnacentral:rRNA from 1 species
UACGAAGGGGACUAGCGUUGUUCGGAAUCACUGGGCGUAAAGCGCACGUAGGCGGAUGUGUCAGUCAGGGGUGAAAUCCCGGGGCUCAACCUCGGAACUGCCUUUGAUACAGCACGUCUCGAGUCCGGAAGAGGUGGGUGGAAUUCCUAGUGUAGAGGUGAGAUUCGUAGAUAUUAGGAAGAACACCGGUGGCGAAGGCGGCCCACUGGUCCGGUACUGACGCUGAGGUGCGAAAGCGUGGGGAGCAAACAGG